GCUCCGCCACCUCCGGUAGACCGCACUCUUCUUCAUCAUCUUCUUUUAAUGGUCCCAAUAAGACUAUUAUCUCCAACUCACGUAUCCAUGGCCACAUGCUUGUCCUGAGCCGGCCCACUCCCAAGCCCAUCUCCAUUCCGCAACCCCAGCCUCAGCCUCUUCCGAUCCAGCUACAGCCCAAGUUACAAAGCCCACCGGAUCAAACCCGAGCUGAAUCGGACUCCAUUUCGCUUCGUCCACAGGGUCGUACUGGGUCGGGGCCGACUGCUACACUUUCUUCGUCUCCUGU
rnacentral:lncRNA from 1 species